GUGGCCAUAAAUAAAUAGUCAGCACAUAUAGUAAAAUUGAAAUGAUACAGUGAAGAUUAGCACAGCCCCUGCACAAGAAUGAAAUGUACUUCAUGAAGUAUUCAAUAUUUUU
ensembl:snRNA U6 U6 spliceosomal RNA